rnacentral:rRNA from 1 species
UACGUAGGUGGCAAGCGUUGUCCGGAUUUAUUGGGCGUAAAGCGCGCGCAGGUGGUUUCUUAAGUCUGAUGUGAAAGCCCACGGCUCAACCGUGGAGGGUCAUUGGAAACUGGGAGACUUGAGUGCAGAAGAGGAAAGUGGAAUUCCAAGUGUAGCGGUGAAAUGCGUAGAGAUUUGGAGGAACACCAGUGGCGAAGGCGACUUUCUGGUCUGUAACUGACGCUGAGGCGCGAAAGCAUGGGAGCAAACAGGG